rnacentral:lncRNA from 1 species
GAGUCAGCUCACAAGUGGGAAUAUGGGCUGACAGUAGCUGAGCAGGGUGGUUCCCUGGCUUUCCCAAGAACAGAUCCUGAUCCUCUUAGGGUGACUUGGCUGAUAUAAUUCUUCACAGAAUUUGCUUUGGGGACCUAUGUCAGAGUGUUCUCUAGACAUGAAACAGUAAAGUCUCCAAGAUAUAGGCCUCUGACUCGGAGCUGUCACACCAUACAAGGCACCUUAUCCACUUAAGAAUAUGGGCACAUCCAUCAUCACUACCACUGUGGGGUCAGCAGGGGUUGUCUCCCAGAAGAGAACAGAAUAGAGGGGUCUCAUGGAGAUGAUUAAAGCCCACACAGGGUGACAGAAUCCUCUUUAUGAAGGAGAAAUGAGGUCUUGGGAGGAGCUCCUGUGCCACAUCUACUCUAUGAAAGAUGCAUCCAAGGACUGGAGAUGCUGUCCACUGAAGCAGUCCCUCCUCCUGAUUCCUGCCUGAGGCCAGCAAAAUUCCUUUUAUUCCUUCCGUUUUGGUUUACCUCCUCCUCUCCUACAUCCUGCUCCAUUUAACCCAUUUAUCUUCAGCUGGCUCUUGAUAACUAUGACUUGAGUUAGCUCUUGAUCGCAGGGCUCUAGAGAUGAUGGACAAUGAAGUACAACUACCUUCUGGUAUUUAUUUACCUACUCCUGAACCCUGACUUACACAGGGAAUUGUGAGGAAGCAGACAGGCCUCCAAGGCCAUCUUAUCUCACAAUCUGAGCCCUAGCAGAAUGAGCCACCCCUCACUCCAGACUGACUGGUUUUUUUUUUUUUUUUUUUUUUUUUUUAACCUUUAUUAAUGGUAUCUUGGGUUGUAAGAAGUUUUUUAUUUUGAUGUCAUCAAAAUGUGUUAUUCCUCUCCUUUAUGGCUUAUUAUUUUAAUGGCUUUUAAAGAAGGCUUCCCUAUCUAUAAAUAAUAAUCAUAUUUCUAUUU